GCCAGGUGACCCUGGAAAUCCAGAGUGGGUGAGGCCUGUCUGGCCGUUUCCAGGCGACCCACUCUUGGUUUCCAGGGUUGCCCUGG
rnacentral:pre_miRNA from 13 species